UACGUAGGGGGCAAGCGUUGUCCGGAUUUAUUGGGCGUAAAGAGCGUGUAGGCGGCUAUGCAGGUCCGCUGUGAAAACUCGAGGCUCAACCUCGAGACGUCGGUGGAAACCGCAUGGCUAGAGUCCGGAAGAGGAGAGUGGAAUUCCCGGUGUAGCGGUGAAAUGCGCAGAUAUCAGGAGGAACACCGGUGGCGAAGGCGGGUCUCUGGACAGUUCCUGACGCUGAGGCACGAAGGUCAGGGGAGCAAACGGG
rnacentral:rRNA from 1 species